rnacentral:lncRNA from 8 species
UGUGCCAAUUCACAUGCCUUGCUUUAGCCAUAUCACUCAUACUGUUUCUCGUUUAGUCCAUCCAUAAAAGCAGAUCAGCUUUAGUUGCAUCCAGGAACUUGCAUAAUGUGCUUAUGUUAUGCUUAUACUUGCUUUGUUUACCUUGAAAGUCGUCUUAAAAAAGGAUAUUGUAAUAGAUGUUUGUAGGACCUCUAUCAGUCAAUGAUAACAGUCAUUGGUGUCCCCCAGCCCAUCCCCUUUGUUGUGUGCCGAGCAAACUUGUCAUUCUUUUAAGUCUCAACCAUUCUUUUUGAAACUUGUCUUCCUUUACAAAGGCACUGCAGAGGCUAAGAAGACGCAUGGAAACUCUAAAACAAACAUAAUUCAACUUGUAGGCCAGAUUUGAAAAGGAAAUAAUAAAUCCCGAAGCUCAGAUGUCAGACACCGAGGCUGCCAGUACCUCUGGGUCGAUAGUCCAUGUGUUGGAUGAUGCACCGCCGUUGAUCAGAACAGACAGCGUAUACGAGAGAUGUCAGCGAUUCGGGCUAAACAGCCAAUGACCAAGGGAAAGCUGGGACAAAAGAGAGGCUCACACGCCAUGAAAGACAGAGUGAUGUCCAGGACUAAGACACAAGAGACCAGUCAGAACAGUUCUGAGAACAGCCUGACAGAUAUCCUCAGUGUCCGGAGUGCCAGUGAUAUUGUCCUACAGCCAAUGCCACCAGGGAGAAAGAAUAGCCGAUCUCACUUCCACAACAUGGAUGUGACUAAAGAGAGGGCUGACAUGGGAAGGCUUCCAAUGGCCACUCCACCCAUCAGGCUCCCAAUGCUCACUGUGACCUCUCUCACUGUCCAAAGGAUCAAAAACUCCCUCAAGGUGCCUCGCAUGCCUCGUCUGCAGCUGGAGGGACAGAUGGGUAGCAAGCGUCUGUGUCCGGUCAAAACCAAAACCGGAGGGAGCACAUUGACCUCCAGCCACAAGCAGGAGCCAGAGGUUAAAUCCUGCAGACCACAGACACCAGGAAGCAUCCCUAGAAGGCCCAAUGUAUGCUCCACUGCAGCCAAGGCAGUAGCUCCUUUAUCUGGGACUCCAUGCAGCCAUUCUGAGGUCAGGAUCCAGGCCAAUCCUCUCCAGAGGUCUAACAUCCAGGACCAAAGGCCCCGCUCUCCUCCUGCUCAGGCCAGACGGUCUCUGUCCGACGGCAGCCUCUUGCAGCCGCCAUGUUCUCCUGUGGAUGUCCUCCAGCCGGAGGUCCAGGCCAGCAGGAGCCUGGCUCGACCCAAGACCGGGAUAGCUAGGAUAACAAGACAUACUGAUGGCAGCACUCUGAGGUUCCCUAACCAGACCUUAGAGCUUAUAAACUCCAUGGAUAGGAGGGAGAUCACAAAUUCUUUCCCUGUGCUGCCAACCAUUGCAGUGUCAGCCUCACCUGCCCAGAUGGCCAUCCCAUUGCCUACCCCAAUAGUCAGCCAAAUGCCUGACCUUCUGGUGCCUACUCCAUCUGCUUCACCGAUUCCGUCCAGCCGAGUGCCUGCCCCACCUGCCUCCCCAGUGCCAGCCCGGCCUGCCAACACCAGAUCACGGAGGCAGGUGUCGGAGAGGAUCCAGCGCUUACAGAUCCAGUCUGCUAUGAAGGACCAGCAGCUACCAGAACAACUGGGUGACAAACAAAUCAUAUUACCCUCUGAGCCCCUGUCCUUCAGUAGCACUGAGAGGAUGUUCCUCUGUGGUCCACCUUUAGUCUGCCACCCAGCUAACGUAGGUGGAGAUGAUGGCUGUCACCCCCUGCCCAGACCUACGCCCAGCCACACAGGUCUCACCGACCACUCCGCUUUACUGACCAGUAGGAGAGCCGUGCAGGCGGGCGAGAAGUGUCCCUUUGAAAUCCUCUUGACCCCACUAGCAGAACAGCCUCCUAUCAAGCGGUGGCACAUACCUGCCUCCCGUGCCAAGGCCGAGCGGGAAUGGGAGAAUAGCCAACGAGGGCGCAGGAAGAGAGUGAAGCCCAUUCACUGGGACGUUAACUUUAAGUCUGGGCCUUUCUUCCCAGUGUGUGUCGCUCCAUCACUGCCCUCGAUCCUGGAGGUGGAUGAAAAGGAGGAGGAUGAAGAGAUGCUCCGGUACUGGAUGUCCUUGGAGACCACAGUCAAGAUUGACUUCAGCCAUGACAUAAUCACCAUGGGCAAGCCAUUUUCAAGCUUUGUGUUGAAGACACGUGCCCCUAUCCACUUUCACAGGAUUAUGCUUCCGCGCCCGUCUACAAGAGAAAGCACACCCACCUCUCCCCUCUUCUCCCCUCCCACUACCCCCCUGCUGUCCCGUGGGUCGUCUCUUUCUGAAGAGAUGGAGCAAUGCCAGUUGUAGAGGGGUCGCACACACACACACACACACACACACACACACACACACACACACACACACACACACACACACACACACACACACACACACACACACACACAGAACUUAAUUUUUAUUUACCUUUAUUUAAAUAGGCAAGUUAGUUAAAACAAAUUCUUAUUUACAAUGACGACCUACCUCUGGCCAAACCCUAACCCGGAUGACACUGGGCCAAUUGUGCGCUGCCCUAUGGGACCACUGCCUUAGACCGCUGUGCCAAUCGGGAGCCCUAUUGAGACCUCAUGGCCUCCCAUGGACCAGAGAGGAUCAGCCAGCAUCAUCCCACCGUCUGCCCUGCCUGCCAUCCUUGUUCCUCCACUGCCCUUUCAACCCCAAAGCACAAAGGGCAGGUGACAGAAAUGAUCCAGCGCCCACCAAUCCAGGCUGUUGUGCAUGAGCAGCAGCAGCUACUGUCGGAAGUACUGUUGGAACAGACUUUUCCUAUGAGACCCAACAGGAGCCACAAGCUGUCAAAGUACUUUCAUCCCUGGGGUGUGUAGCUUCUCGAAGAGUGUUCUCUUCCUGAAGAUGGACUGCUUCAACCCCUUGGGAGUAUCCAGAGUAUCUAGUACGCUGGUGUGAUGAUAGAAUAUGUCCAUCAGUAUCAACUAGAGAUUAAUAUUAAUCCACUUGUUAUUCUAGUUAGGCAAAUGUUAAUUUAUCAUCAGCAUGUUCCAAAGAAUUCUGUUUCUAUAAAGUUUUAUUGCAGUUGAAAAUGAUCAGUGGUGUGUGUUGUUGGUUUCUUGUGAGCUAUGAAAUGUACAAUUUUAGUAGAAUGUUUAUUUCUUCAUUGGAUUUGUUGAUUUGUUGCCCAAGGAGAAGAGGUAAGUGCUGACCGGACUAAUAUAAGUGAAAGUCCGAUUCAAAUUUGUAUUAAUCUGAAGGAGGCACAUCUGACUCACACCUUAGUGCCAUAAUUCUUCACAUUUUCAAUGUAUAGCAACACUGACAAAUUCUCAGGUGGAACUAUUUGUACUACAGCAUUGGAAAUGUGGAUCUAUCCAAACACAGUGUUUAUGAAAUGCUGCUGAACAACAUUUUCUGACCAAUAAGCUUGUUUGUCGUAAUAUUUGGCCAAAAUUUUCUUCGCUUGAGUCAAGAGGUCAUUUCUCAACUUGCACAUGUAAGGGAAGCAGACAGCUGCAGAUUUAAUAUAACUGAUGGGUUACGCGGUAACCAGGUCUCUCUUGCCAAAAGAACCCACUUUUGAAAGAAAGAUCUGGAUAGUGCCACAUAACGCUAUGUAAAUUCUUCCUUUUAUACAAAUAAAAAUGACCCCUUUAUCUGGAAUAGAUGUAGUGUUGCCUUACAUUUGUGAAAUGUGAAUGACAUUUGCUUAGCCUUCAAACUGUGCUUCAUUUAAAAUACCGUUGGUUGGACUGCGAGGCAGUGACUGUAUCGUUUUUCUUUUGUUCUGAAGCCUGACACUGUACGACACGUCAUGUCUCAUCCUCCUUCUUUUGAAUAAAGCUUCCUCUGCAUGAUUUUAUUCUAACAUCUUCCAUGUUUUUUUUGCAACCCUCAAAAACAAAUGUUGAUCCCCAUGUAACGACACGUGAUAUUCCACAAGGGGGGCACUAAAGGUCUGUAACAGGAGGUUGAACACUUUGUACCUUGAACACCAUCUGAACUUACACACAGUCUCAACUAUUUAAAUGACAGAAAAUGCCAUAUCUGCUCUCACACAAUACAUUAAUAGAUGAUGAUCCCUUGGGUUUUUCACAGUCCAUCAUAAUAAAUACUUUUUGGCAACUUAUGUAUUGUUGUCUAAGGUUCAUUCCGAAACACAUUUUCUCCACCAAAGCCCAAAGCUUACUAGCAUUAUAAAGAUAUCACUCAAGUUGAAGAGGUGUUACCACAUUUUUGUAGAGAUUUAUAUUGGGGCCAGUGCAAAGAUCUUACAUUGCACUGUAAGAUCAGUCAUGCAUCGUACCCAGUUUCUCUCUAGAAACAUGCAUGAGAAAGCUGUGACUAAGCAGAGAAGUAUGUCUGUAUCAGUUGUUCUUGAACUGGUUCAAGAAAGAAGAGCGAGAGAGAGAGAGCAAAGCACAGAAGGAUGUUGGGUUACAUAUGAACACUUUCCAUCAUACUCUCAGGAAGGUUAGGUUAGUUAGGCUACAUGUGAUCGUGCGUCACCAUAACUGAAACAUGGCCUUCUUUCUUUCACGUCAUGGUGCAAGUAUUUGCAAGUAUUUGCAUACAUUUAAAUUUCCCUGGCUGGCAGUGAAGGGGUUAAUCAGCUGUGUGCUCUCAGUUUACGCUCACUAGCAGAAUCUGUCUGCCACAGCUGCUGCGCUAAGGCCAAUCUUCUAUCACAGAGAGCGCUGACAACCAGAGGUGUUUCCAGAGGCCAACAACACAGAGCAGGUUAGAGAAGCUUCAAACCUAACCAUGUACGCACGUAAACACACACACACACACACACACACACACACACACACACACACACACACACACACACACACACACACACACACACACACACACACACACACACACACACACACACACACAGUAUGCUAAUUAAUAUUUAGAUGCACUUGCAGGCACAUACAGUAUGAAAGAAAACCAGCAAUGUCUGAAUGCCGAGGUGAGAACGCAGCCCGGGGCAUUCCAUUGUUCUCUACCAGCAUUUAAGAGUUAAGUACUGUUCAAGGUAUGAGCAUGUG